rnacentral:lncRNA from 1 species
GUGAAAAAGACCCAUUUGAUAAUCUGCAGUUAAAAACUAUUGAUGAGAAGGAGGAGCUGAGAAACUUUCUGGUAGGAACUACUGGACCCAUUAUGGCUCAGUUAUUGGACAGUAACUUGCCCAGAGGCAGUUCUGGGUCUGUGUUAUAGGAUGAGGAGGUCUUGGUGUCCUUGGAGCCGUGCAACCCUGGAUUUCAAGCCUCUUCAUAAACCCAAUGGCUUUAUAACUUUACCACAGUUAGACAACUAUGAAGAUAUGUCACUGUCUUCCAAAAUGUCCCUUCCUCCUAUCCCUACAGUAAGCAAUAUCAAAUCUCUGUCCUUUCCCAAACUUGACUCUGAUGACAGCAGUCAGAAGACAGUCAAGCUGGUGAGCACUUUCCAUAGCACAUCCUGCCUCCGCAGUGGCACCUUCCAAAAUUCCCGAAAGCCUUCUACCCAAAGCAGUGCCAGUGAGAUCAAUGGGGACCAUACUUUUGGGCUUUCAGCUUUGAACUUGGAUAGUGGCACACAGGUGCCAACUCUGACAACAUCCCACAUGCCUUCCUUGUCUGUUUUGUCUCUGUGCACAAAAGAAUUAUCACCUUCAAAUGCAGGUCCCACAAUUCUUGACUAUCUUUUUGUACAUGGACAGCUUUGUGAGAAGGGCUUCGACCCCCUUUUAGUGGAAGAGGCUCUGGAAAUGCACCAGUAUUCAGAAGAAAAGAUGAUGGAGUUUCUUCAGUUAAUGAGCAAAUUUAAGGAAAUGGGCUUUGAAGUGAAUGAAGGACAUUAAGGAAACUUUGCUAUUAUGCAGCAAUGACCAGGACAAUGUUUUGAAAGACCUCAUGGCUUGAGCUGGAGCCAGCUGAGGCCAGGCCUUGUCUAGGCCCUGCCACAGAACCACCACCCCCAGCAGGCCCUGCAGAGCUCACCUGUGGGGAAGGAGAAGGGGCAUACUUCCCAAUUUUCUUUUGGGGGUUAGAAGAUCAGGUGUGGAGAUUCUAUGAGCCUAGGUCUUGAGCUGAAGAGAAAGUAGGGAAGAUUUGGGGAUGUUAAUGCCCCAGACCCAUCCCAGCUCCUUCCAUAUUAAAUUUAUUUGUAUUUUAAGAAGUCUCCUUCCCACCUUGGCCCUCCAGAUAGACUACCUGGGUCUUUCUGGUGUCUCUGCAUCCUCACCCAGAACCUAGCUUGGCUGUCAAGAAGAGUGGGGAGAAAAGGGGAGGGCCAGACUCAGCA